UAUCUCUGUAGAGUCUGCAUAUCAAUAAGCGGAGGAAAAGAAACUAACUAGGAUUCCCUCAGUAACGGCGAGUGAAGCGGGAAGAGCUCAAAUUUGAAAUCUUCAAGGUUUUACCUUGACGAAUUGUAGUUUAAAGAAGUGUUUUCUGUUGGAGGUUUUGGUAAAAGUUCCUUGGAAUAGGACAUCAUAGAGGGUGAGAAUCCCGUAUUUGACCAUUAUUUCCAGCUUUGUGAUACACUUUCAAAGAGUCGGAUUGUUUGGGAAUGCAGUCCAAAAUGGGUGGUAAAUUUCAUCUAAAGCUAAAUAUUGGCGAGAGACCGAUAGCGAACAAGUACCGUGAGGGAAAGAUGAAAAGAACUUUGAAAAGAGAGUUAAACAGUACGUGAAAUUGUCAAAAGGGAAGCGUUUGACACCAGUGUUGUUUUCUCGAAAAUCAAUUAAAAAAGGCAGGAUUUUGUGUUGUAUUGACUUUAUCAGCUUUCUGCACUCUUUUCUUGUCUUUUUUAAUGCACUUUUCGUUUAACAAGUCAACAUCAAUUUCUUUUGUUGUAAAAGGGUCAUUGGAAGGUGGCUUUCCUUUUCGGAGAAAGUGUUUAUAGCCUUUGGCCUCUGCAAUCGGAGAGAUUGAGGUCUGCAGCGUAGAUCCUUCGGGGUUAGAUACAUUUGUGCUAAGUUAUAGCCUUUCAUAGACAACUUGUUGACUAUGAUCAGUCAUGUAGCUUACUCGCUUAUGCUAUUUUACCUACGCUUAGGAUGUUGACGAUCAGCUGAGCGCG
rnacentral:rRNA from 1 species